AAAGCUCUUAUGCAAGCACAGAAGUGUUUGCACAAAAGUUUGUUGUGUCUCCAGUCUACGCAGGUGCAGUUUGGAAGCGUUUGUUCAUCACCAAAAAGUACGAUAUGGUGCUCCUUCCCUGUUGAACUUUUUACUUCAAAGACCCCUGGGGACACCAUGUGGACCAUGUCUUUGCUAAUGUCACUAUCCCAACGCUUCAUAAUAUGAGACACCAUUCUGGCAGGUCUGUUGUGCAGAAAUUUUGGAAGUUCCUCAUUAUAAGCACGAAUCCAAAGAUGACUAAAGUCUACAGUAAGUGCCGCUGUAGUUAGCCUAAUCACACCUUUCAAUAAUUUGUUAAUUAAGCAGUUGUUUUUUCAAAAGAAGGGGCCUGUGUCACACAACAAAAACCCUACGAAAUGAAUUUUUCCUUCAAAACUGGUAUUUUUUCGUUAUAAAAACAUAGAAUCAUUAUAGUAUUGUGAAGUAUUAAAAAUUUUACUUUUUGAAGGUAUUUGGGAGAAACCGAUCAACAAGUGCUGUCAGCAUAUCACUUAAGGAGCACCCUUUAUUCCCAUGGAGGUACUCAUAUUUGAAUGCCUUAUUCUGUCUUUCAAUGCCAUUGUUCGUGUUCACUGCACAAAUGAAAUCUUCUGUCCGAUACGCUUGACACCAUCUCUGUAAGAAAACGAUCAAUACAGUAUAUUUUGCAUGUUCUGCUAGUACAUAGUAUUUUAUUUGAGAUUAUGAAAUAAUACAACGAUAUAAGCCCUGGA